rnacentral:rRNA from 1 species
CAGAAGCAUAUAUUAACGUUGUUGCAGUUAAAAGGCUCGUAGUCAAAUUUGUGAUAUGGACAGAUUGUGACGCAUCUAGUAUGUGGAUCUAUUUGUUCAUGUCAUCUUAAACUUUUCCGCCCUUGAUUGAGUUGGCAAUGGGUACAAAUACCUUUACUGUGAGGAAAUCAAAGUGUUCAAGGCAAGCAAUUAUGUUUGGAUGCUACAGCAUGGAAUAAUAAUAUACGGCUUGUUACUAUUUUGGCUUUUGUAUCAAGUAAUGAUUGAAAGAGGUAGUCAGGGGUGCUAGUACUUAGCGGUCAGCGGUGAAAUGCAGAAAUCCGCUAAUGACUAUCAACUGCGAAAGCAUUCAUCAGUGAUAUUUUCUUUGA